rnacentral:rRNA from 1 species
GACGAACGCUGGCGGCGUGCUUAACACAUGCAAGUCGAACGGAAAGGCCCUGCUUUUGUGGGGUGCUCGAGUGGCGAACGGGUGAGUAACACGUGAGUAACCUGCCCUUGACUUUGGGAUAACUUCAGGAAACUGGGGCUAAUACCGGAUAGGAGCUCCUGCUGCAUGGUGGGGGUUGGAAAGUUUCGGCGGUUGGGGAUGGACUCGCCGCUUAUCAGCUUGUUGGUGGGGUAGUGGCUUACCAAGGCUUUGACGGGUAGCCGGCCUGAGAGGGUGACCGGCCACAUUGGGACUGAGAUACGGCCCAGAAUCCUACGGGAGGCAACAGUGGGGAAUAUUGCAACAUGGGCGGAAGCCUGAUGCAGCAACGCCGCGUGCGGGAUGACGGCCUUCGGGUUGUAAACCGCUUUCGCCUGUGACGAAGCGUGAGUGACGGUAAUGGGUAAAGAAGCACCGGCUAACUACGUG